UCCCAAUCGGGCAGUCCGGUCAGACACGAGUAACUGACCGCGGGGGUUGCGCUCGUUGCGGGACUUAACCCAACAUCUCACAACACGAGCUGACGACAGCCAUGCAGCACCGGUGCAGCACCCUCGAAGGCGACCGCCUUUCAGCGGCUUGCAGCUGCAUGUCAAAUCUGGGUAAGGUUCUGCGCGUUGCGUCGAAUUAAACCACACGCUCCGCUGCUUGUGCGGGCCCCCGUCAAUUCCUUUGAGUUUUAAGCUUGCGCUCGUAGUUCCCAGGCGGGACACUUCUGCGUUAGCUCAGCCCCCCACCAGGAAUGGUUACCUGGCAGAGGACCAGUGUCCAUCGUUUACGGCGUGGACUAC
rnacentral:misc_RNA from 1 species